rnacentral:rRNA from 1 species
CUACGGGUUGCUGCAGUGAGGAAUUUUGCGCAAUGGGGGAAACCCUGACGCAGCAACGCCGCGUGAGUGAUGAAGGCCCUCGGGUCGUAAAGCUCUGUCAAGUGGGAAGAAUCUAUCGAUAUUGAAUAGAUAUUGAUACUGACGGUACCACAAGAGGAAGCACCGGCUAACUCCGUGCCAGCAGCCGCGGUAAUACGGGGGGUGCAAGCGUUAUUCGGAAUCAUUGGGCGUAAAGGGCGCGCAGGCGGCCUUGUCAGUCAGAUGUGAAAGCCCGGGGCUCAACCCCGGAAGUGCAUUUGAAACUAUGAGGCUUGAGUAUGGGAGAGGGAAGUGGAAUUCCUGGUGUAGCGGUGAAAUGCGUAGAUAUCAGGAGGAACACCGGUGGCGAAGGCGACUUCCUGGACCAAUACUGACGCUGAGGCGCGAAGGCGUGGGGAGCAAACAGGAUUAGAUACCCUCGUAGUC